CUACCCUCAUCACUGUUCAAAGUUCAUCGCACGGUCACGACUGUCUGGUAGUAUUAUUUUUCAUUUUUUUUUUCUACAAAUCGGAAUGACCUGAAAUUUGAAGUAUGUAUACAUCUUAGUGAGGCACAUCUAAUAAAAAUAUAUAGCAAAAUAAUUCGUGAAAAGUAAUUGACCAAAACUUUGGUCAAUUUUUUUCAUGUAAAAUAUUUUUUUGAUAUUUUUUAUAGAUUCGUCUAUUUUUUACGAAUACACAUUCUAAAUUUCAGGUUAUUCCGAUUUGUAGAAAAAAAAAUGAAAAGUGAAACACUAUCGGAUAAUCGUGACAGUACGAUCAACUAUGGAUGGUGAUGAGAGUAG
rnacentral:pre_miRNA from 1 species